GGGUUGUGAGGUUAAGCGACUAAGCGUACACGGUGGAUGCCCUGGCAGUCAGAGGCGAUGAAGGACGUGCUAAUCUGCGAUAAGCGCCGGUAAGGUGAUAUGAACCGUUAUAACCGGCGAUUUCCGAAUGGGGAAACCCAGUGUGAUUCGUCACACUAUCAUUAACUGAAUCCAUAGGUUAAUGAGGCGAACCGGGGGAACUGAAACAUCUAAGUACCCCGAGGAAAAGAAAUCAACCGAGAUUCCCCCAGUAGCGGCGAGCGAACGGGGAGGAGCCCAGAGCCUGAAUCAGCAUGUGUGUUAGUGGAAGCGUCUGGAAAGGCGCGCGAUACAGGGUGACAGCCCCGUACACAAAAGCGCAUGUGCUGUGAGCUCGAUGAGUAGGGCGGGACACGUGGUAUCCUGUCUGAAUAUGGGGGGACCAUCCUCCAAGGCUAAAUACUCCUGACUGACCGAUAGUGAACCAGUACCGUGAGGGAAAGGCGAAAAGAACCCCGGCGAGGGGAGUGAAAAAGAACCUGAAACCGUGUACGUACAAGCAGUGGGAGCACAGGUUUACCUGUGUGACUGCGUACCUUUUGUAUAAUGGGUCAGCGACUUAUAUUCUGUAGCAAGGUUAACCGAAUAGGGGAGCCGGAGGGAAACCGAGUCUUAAUUGGGCGUUAAGUUGCAGGGUAUAGACCCGAAACCCGGUGAUCUAGCCAUGGGCAGGUUGAAGGUUGGGUAACACUAACUGGAGGACCGAACCGACUAAUGUUGAAAAAUUAGCGGAUGACCUGUGGCUGGGGGUGAAAGGCCAAUCAAACCGGGAGAUAGCUGGUUCUCCCCGAAAGCUAUUUAGGUAGCGCCUCGUGAAUUCAUCUCCGGGGGUAGAGCACUGUUUCGGCUAGGGGGCCAUCCCGGCUUACCAACCCGAUGCAAACUGCGAAUACCGGAGAAUGUUAUCACGGGAGACACACGGCGGGUGCUAACGUCCGUCGUGAAGAGGGAAACAACCCAGACCGCCAGCUAAGGUCCCAAAGUCAUGGUUAAGUGGGAAACGAUGUGGGAAGGCCCAGACAGCCAGGAUGUUGGCUUAGAAGCAGCCAUCAUUUAAAGAAAGCGUAAUAGCUCACUGGUCGAGUCGGCCUGCGCGGAAGAUGUAACGGGGCUAAACCAU
rnacentral:rRNA from 2 species